rnacentral:rRNA from 1 species
UUGAUCCUGGCUCAGAAUCAACGCUGGCGGCGUGCCUAACACAUGCAAGUCGAACGCGAAAGCCCCGAAAGGGGUCAGUAGAGUGGCAAACGGGUGAGUUACACGUGGGUGACCUGCCUUCGAGUGGGGGAUAACGUCCCGAAAGGGACUCUAACACCGCAUAACAUCCUGCCUUUGAAGAGGCGGACAUCAAAGCUGGUGAUCGCAAGACCUAGCGCUUGAAGAGGGGCCCGCGCCUGAUUAGCUAGUUGGUGGGGUAAUGGCUCACCAAGGCAACGAUCAGUAUCCGGCCUGAGAGGUCGGACGGACACACUGGGACUGAGACACGGCCCAGACUCCUACGGGAGGCUGCAGUGGGGAAUUGUUCGCAAUGGGCGCAAGCCUGACGACGCAACGCCGUGUGGAGGAUGAAGACCUUCGGGUCGUAAACUCCUUUCGAUCGAGACGAAUGGCCUCCGGGUGAAUACCCUGGAGGAGUGACGGUACCGAGAGAAGAAGCUCCGGCUAACUCCGUGCCAGCAGCCGCGGUAAUAAGGU